rnacentral:rRNA from 1 species
CACUAGUGAUUGGUGUUCUUCCCGAUAUCUACACAUUCCACCGUUACACCGGGAAUUCCAGUCUCCCCUACCACACUCUAGCCUGCCCGUACCCGGCGCAGAUCCACCGUUAAGCGAUGGACUUUCACACCAGACGCGACAAACCGCCUACGAGCUCUUUACGCCCAAUAAUUCCGGAUAACGCUUGCACCCUACGUAUUACCGCGGCUGCUGGCACGUAGUUAGCCGGUGCUUAUUCGAAAGGUACACUCACUUGCGCUUGCUCCCUAACAAAAGCGGUUUACAACCCGAAGGCCGUCAUCCCGCACGCGGCGUCGCUGCAUCAGGCUUGCGCCCAUUGUGCAAUAUUCCCCACUGCUGCCUCCCGUAGGAGUCUGGGCCGUAUCUCAGUCCCAAUGUGGCCGGUCGCCCUCUCAGGCCGGCUACCCGUCGUAGGCUUGGUAGGCCAUUACCCCACCAACUACCUGAUAGGACGCGACCCCAUCCCAUACCGAUAAAUCUUUCCCACAAUCACAUGUGAUCAUGUGGAGCAUCCGGCAUUACCACCCGUUUCCAGGAGAAUCGAAUUC